rnacentral:rRNA from 1 species
UACAGAGGCCCCAAGCGUUAUCCGGAUUUACUGGGCGUAAAGCGUUAAAAGGCGGUAUAGAAAGUCAGGUGUUAAAACCUGGAGCUCAACUCCAGAUCUGCAUUUGAAACUACUAUGCUCGAGGACAGGAGAGGCAAGCGGAAUUGCUGGUGUAGCAGUAAAAUGCGUUAAUAUCAGCAGGAACACCGAUGGCGAAGGCAGCUUGCUGGAAUGUUCCUGACGCUAAAUAACGAAAGCGUGGGUAGCGAAU